GAGGUUAGGGACUCGUUUUUGUAUUGCUUUUUUUUUUUGAAGGAUGGCCUUCAGGAACCAUAAUGUAAGACUUGUAAAUCUAGAUUUGAUAACCAUUUGGGCUCAUGUUCCUCCAAAAUCUACCAAACUUUGUCCACGUUUCAACGUGGAUCCAAGUUCGAGUUGUAAGGAGCUCUUGUCCUUCUUAAUUCCCACCUUGUUGUAUAAAAUGGACCCUCAGCCUGAUGCUACCACCAGCAUUCUUGACAGCUGGUUGAGAGUAUUGGGUUCAAGGCCCCUCCUUACACUUUUAAUAAUUUCUUUUCACCACAACCGGAUAGUUCAUUCUGUAUCCCAUCUGACCAGCAACACUUUUCCAUGUCCAUUUGAAUCAAACUAUCACCCCUAACCAAGGCACCAGCGAAGCUCAAAUUUAUCCUAAUCUUGAAGAUGCUGGAUAUAUCAGUGUCACUGUCCACAGUGAAGGCAGUUUGACACAUUGUAACAUCGAUAUCGACUGAUAGGGUGCCGACCAAUAACCCACACCUUCUGACAUGCAUGAGCUGGCCCCGUGAACAAGCCAAAUGUUCAAGUGGAUUCACAAAUCGGAUGCUUUAUGGACAGAGGAGACACAGUUCUUUGGUCACAAUAAUAGGAAAGAUGUUGGAGGAGUUGAGAAUAUGGAGCUAAUGAAGAAAGGACUAAAUCCAAAAUAUUCAACAUCUUGGUAGGCUUGAGCCUUGGUGAAUUUUAAACAUUCUGAUGGUGGCAAAUUCAGAUCAGAUGGUUGAAACUUGGACAUAAAGGGUGUCCCAAAUGGAAAUGUUCACAAAUACACAUCAAAACUGAUUUUACAAUGGAUAAAGCAGAUUAAUCUUAGGCUUCUGAAAUAGCUUCAGCCUCAUAUUUAGAGUUUGUUAGCAACAUUUAAAAGCAGGGUCAGUGCCAGGAAACCGAGCAAUUUAGACAAACUCAAUCGUUUUUGCAACAAAGAGUUAUCAAACUUCUUGCCAGCAUAAUGCCAGGGCCUCUUUGAUGGCUACACAAAGCGAUUUUUGUUUUUAUUUUUUUGCUCCAUGCUCCUUUGCUCCUGUAUCCCAAUAUUAGCGGGGGUAUCAUUUAGAGCCUGUGUGAAUUUAUUAAAAAAACAUUUGCAUUUGAAUCUCUAAACCUGCACUGUAUAAAGCCACCUAACAAGCUGGAGCAAAUUGAAAUCCCUUUAGUGAAAAAAAACAAAAAAACAUUUUAAACACAAACCUUGUGAUGAUAAAAAGACAAAAGGUCAAAUAAAAACUAUUUAUACACUAAAGUUAUCAAAUACAAGUUGAAAAAUAAGGGUCAAACCAGUGGUAGGGAGAUAAGAAGUGAGGGAGCCAACAAACCUGCUUUUACCCCAUAAAUCUGUGAGGUAAUGCAUCACGAGGGAUAAGUGCGUCAGAGAAGAUCAAGUUUAACGUCAUCACCCAUUUUCUUUCCUGUUUUUUUUCCCUUUCUGCUGCUCUACUCUUCUGCUUCCUUCUCUCUUAGACAGCAAAUAACCUUGGCAAUCUUACACUGUCUGAAUACCUCACUCUAUGAACGCAGACGUGCAGCAUUGUGCGAAAGAAAAACAAAAAGAUUUGAAUGCGGCAAAAACGCAGAAUCAGGGCUCUCACAUAAGAUGACAGCAAUGAAAGAACAAAGACAGACAGAUGGAGAGGAAAACAAGAAUCUGAGGUGGGAUCUACAAAA